rnacentral:rRNA from 1 species
AUGGACGCCGGCGGCAGCGGCAGCGGCGCCGACCUGAGGAGCAGCAUCAAGAAGUGGAAGAUCAUCUACCCGGUGUACCUCAACUCCAAGAAGACGGUCGCCGAGGGCCGCCGCAUCGCCGCCGCCAAGGCCUGCCCCGACCCCACCUGCAUCGAGAUCGCCGACAGCUGCGCCUACCUCAAGAUCCCUCGCGCCAUCGAGUUGGAUAAGGCGUAUCCGCGGGAUUUCUUCCAGGUGGGGAGAGUGAGGGUGCAGCUCACCAAUGAUGACGGCUCCCCAGUCAACCCUGCAAUCAGAACAAAGAAGCAGCUAAUGAUCCAAAUAGCAGAGCUGGUCCCCAAGCAUCAUGGGAGGACUAAGAAGCAGGAACCAGUGGCAGGUCCAUCAGUUACAACUACUAACAAGAAAAAUAAGAAGAAGAAGUAG